rnacentral:precursor_RNA from 1 species
CAAUUGAUAUUGAGUUUUGAUUACUCGCUCAUCAGACCCCAGAAAAGGUGUUGGUUGAU